UUGAGCCGUCACACGGAA
rnacentral:snRNA from 1 species